rnacentral:rRNA from 1 species
UACGUAGGGUGCAAGCGUUGUCCGGAAUUAUUGGGCGUAAAGAGCUCGUAGGCGGUUUGUCGCGUCUGCUGUGAAAGACCGGGGCUCAACUCCGGUUCUGCAGUGGGUACGGGCAGACUAGAGUGCAGUAGGGGAGACUGGAAUUCCUGGUGUAGCGGUGAAAUGCGCAGAUAUCAGGAGGAACACCGAUGGCGAAGGGAGGUCUCUGGGCUGUAACUGACGCUGAGGAGCGAAAGCAUGGGGAGCGAACAGG